rnacentral:rRNA from 1 species
GACGAACGCUGGCGGCGUGCCUAACACAUGCAGGUCGAACGGAACUUCUUUAAAGGAUUUCUUCGGAAUGAAUUUGAUUAAGUUUAGUGGCGGACGGGUGAGUAACGCGUGAGUAACCUGCCUCUAAGAGGGGAAUAACAUUCUGAAAAGAAUGCUAAUACCGCAUAACAUAUAUUUAUCGCAUGGUAGAUAUAUCAAAGAUUUAUCGCUUAGAGAUGGACUCGCGUCCGAUUAGUUAGUUGGUGAGGUAACGGCUCACCAAGACCGCGAUCGGUAGCCGGACUGAGAGGUUGAACGGCCACAUUGGGACUGAGACACGGCCCAGACUCCUACGGGAGGCAGCAGUGGGGGAUAUUGCGCAAUGGGGGAAACCCUGACGCAGCAACGCCGCGUGAAGGAUGAAGGUCUUCGGAUUGUAAACUUCUUUUAUUAAGGACGAAGAAAGUGACGGUACU